rnacentral:rRNA from 1 species
UUGAACGCUGGUGGCAGGCCUAACACAUGCAAGUCGAGCGGUUGAGAGUAGCUUGCUACUUGAUGCAGCGGCGGACGGGUGAGUAACGCGUGGGAAUCUGCCCAGUAGUGGGGGACAACAGCCGGAAACGGCUGCUAAUACCGCAUACGCCCUACGGGGGAAAGAGGGGGAUCUUCGGACCUCUCGCUAUUGGAUGAGCCCGCGUCGGAUUAGCUAGUUGGUAGGGUAAAGGCCUACCAAGGCUACGAUCCGUAACUGGUCUGAGAGGAUGAUCAGUCACACUGGAACUGAGACACGGUCCAGACUCCUACGGGAGGAAGCAGUGGGGAAUAUUGGACAAUGGGGGAAACCCUGAUUCAGCCAUGCCGCGUGUGUGAAGAAGGCCUUAGGGUUGUAAAGCACUUUCAGUGGGGAGAAAGGUUUGUCACCUAAUACGUGAUGAAAUUGAUGUUACCCACAGAAGAAGCACCGGCUAACUCCGUGCCAGCCGCCGCCGUAAUAC